CCUAAGAGUCCUAGUCCGUGGGCUCUCUCACUCCAUAGGGAGGCCACGUGUAAUGAUGAAAAGAAAACUGGACAAGAAAACUGAAAUUCAUAUUCCCGAUACACAAUACCCUGUGAUUCCAUUUUCUGGAGAUGUUUGAGGUGGGGAUGGGGCCAACAGAGGCAGGGACAAGACGGGCUCCUUCACCCAGUGGAGGUGGUUCCUUCCUUCGCUCAGGCCUCGCUGACAGGUCUCUGAUUCUGUAGCCUGAUUUCAGGAACUUAUUCUUGGCUUUUGCUUUUCUCAGGGUAAUGAGCUUUCAGCCUAGCACUUGCUAACACUAACAAAUGAGGCCAAUUGCAGCUCGCUGUGGAUCACCUUUCAAUAGUGGGUUGACAAGGAGAACAAUGCAUUUGUUUGCGGCUGUCGAGUCUUCAGGGAGGAUCUGUCAUCUCCGAGGCAUGAAGCUGCCUGACAUCUAAGGAUCUCUGAAGAGAACUGGGACCUGAAACCCAUCUGAAAUGUAUCUGCAGACAGGUCAAGUUCAUCGAGAGUCACCUCCUGCCUGACACUCCAGUCAUUAAUUCCAGUGUGAAGAACAUGAUGAAGGUCCGUCCUAAGGAUGUCUUGGCUACCACAUCUCCAAAUCCAACGGUUGACGUUGUUGCCAUGACCAGAUCUCCAGAUCAGCCUGAAGAUCAACAGGAUGAUGAGUCCACUGAAGAAGGUCACAAA
rnacentral:lncRNA from 1 species